AGAACGAACGCUGGCGGCAGGCCUAACACAUGCAAGUCGAACGCCCCGCAAGGGGAGUGGCAGACGGGUGAGUAACACGUGGGAACGUGCCCAAAGGUACGGAACAACUCCGGGAAACUGGAGCUAAUACCGUAUGUGCCCGAAAGGGGAAAGAUUCAUCGCCUUUGGAUCGGCCCGCGUCUGAUUAGCUAGUUGGCGGGGUAAUGGCCCACCAAGGCGACGAUCAGUAGCUGGUCUGAGAGGAUGACCAGCCACACUGGGACUGAGACACGGCCCAGACUCCGUACGGGAGGCAGCAGGUGGGGAAUAUUGGACAAGUGGGCGCAAGCCUGAUCCAGCCAUGCCGCGUGAGUGAUGAAGGUCCGUUAAGGGUGUAAAGUCUCUUCGCGAGGGACAUAAUGACGGU
rnacentral:rRNA from 1 species